rnacentral:rRNA from 1 species
ACUCCUACGGGAGGCAGCAGUGGGGAAUAUUGCACAAUGGGCGCAAGCUGAUGCAGCAACGCCGCGUGAGGGAUGACGGCCUUCGGGUUGUAAACCUCUUUCAGCAGGGACGAAGCGAAAGUGACGGUACCUGCAGAAGAAGCACCGGCCAACUACGUGCCAGCAGCCGCGGUAAU